rnacentral:rRNA from 1 species
GGAUUAGAUACCCGGGUAGUCCACGCCCUAAACGAUGUCAACUAGUUGUCGGGUCUUCAUUGACUUGGUAACGCAGCUAACGCGUGAAGUUGACCGCCUGGGGAGUACGGUCGCAAGAUUAAAACUCAAAGGAAUUGACGGGGACCCGCACAAGCGGUGGAUGAUGUGGAUUAAUUCGAUGCAACGCGAAAAACCUUACCUACCCUUGACAUGUACGGAAGCCCGGAGAGAUUCGGGCGUGCUCGAAAGAGAGCCGUAACACAGGUGCUGCAUGGCUGUCGUCAGCUCGUGUCGUGAGAUGUUGGGUUAAGUCCCGCAACGAGCGCAACCCUUGUCAUUAGUUGCUACAUUCAGUUGAGCACUCUAAUGAGACUGCCGGUGACAAACCGGAG